GGACUGGCCCUUUGCUGUAUUGAGUUCCAAGUGCAGAUGGCAAAGACCAACGCUGGGAAAAGUUUCAGCAGCCACAAGAGAGGGGCAAGUUCUGUUGGAGCAGCCCCAUGUGAGAGUGCUGGCCCUGACUGUGGAGCUGAGGCUGCUGAGCUGGCAGCCCUGGAUGUGGACAUGAACCUGGUGGCAAACCUGCUCGAGUCCUACAGUGCCCAGGCUGGCCUGGCAGGACCCACCUCGAGCAUUUUACAGAGCCUGGGGGUGAAUUUACCUGAGAGCUCAGAGCUCACUGGCAGCUGAGCAAGGCAGGGAGAGCCUUGGCACCAGACAUGGCUGCUGGGGAGAUGGAGCACAGACACACGAGCAGGAUGGGGGAGAAGAGGCCAAAGGUUUGAGUUUGGAGCAUUCUGUUCAUUAUGUGUCACUUCAGCAGAGUGAAUUCACCUGCAAAAGCUUCUGUUUGCACACUGUCUUGGGUGGAAAUGAGAUUUUCCCUGUGCUGACACAAUUUCAGAAAACUGAAAAAUUAUGUCAAAUGAAUGACCGAAAUCUCUGCCCAUUUUCUUUUAUUACAACACCUCUCUCCCAUUUUUCCUUUCAGUGAUCCAAUUUGCCACAUUUCUAAAAUGUCCUUUUACCCAUUGCUGAGUGGGUUCAAUAUCUGGGGAGCAGUUCUUGUUCUGAAAAUGCUGCUGCCUUCAGGGGCAGGUGGGGAAAUACCACAUUGCAGGAAGAGUAAUUGGAUCAAUUGUGCAAAUAUUGGCCAGAAGUAUUUUUUAAUUUUAUGUCAAUAAAAACAAAAAUUACAACUUGA